AUAACGGAGACAGAAAUUUUCAAAAUGAAUGAAAAUAACCAUAUCUCAAUUAUUAUCACAUUAACGUGUAUGUUGGUUUCAAAGGUUGAUGCAUUUGGAGCAUGUGAAAUUUCUAAAUUAACCUUGAGAUUUGUUGAAAAAUGUCCAGAGGAUAAGGAGUCGUGGUUGUGAGCAGCAGAAAAAUUAAAUUGUGGGUCCAUUACUCAGUCAUGUGCAGAAUCCAUGGGACCCUCAUUCAAGAUUCAAAAUUACAUUUUCCAAUACCACUGUGUAAUAAACGCGUGGCGAAACGCAACAAUGGAAGUAUGUGCACUUAAUCGUACGAUAUUAGGAUUUUGUGCCGAGUUUAAUGUACAAGGGGCGGUCAUACAGGAUAAUUACGAUGCAGAUUGUACAAAGCAUAACCCACCUUGUCCA